AAGUCGUAACAAGGUUUCCGUAGGUGAACCUGCGGAAGGAUCAUUCACACGUAUCCACGUAUCCACCCUUUGUGCACAUGCGUUCAUCUCCCUCUUGCUCAUUUAUUUGAGCAAGGGGCAGAGGCUCGGCGGACGGUUCGCCGCUACCGAGCCCGCAUUCUACAUACACAACUUCACAGCCACAGCUACCAAAGCAAAUUGUUUUCUGCUUGAGAGGCUUCGGCCUAUCGAGAGCGAGUUUUUAUUGAACUCUAAGAACAACUCUUAGCAAUGGAUAUCUUGGUUCUC
rnacentral:misc_RNA from 1 species